rnacentral:rRNA from 1 species
UACGAGAGGCCCAAACGUUAUUCGGAAUUACUGGGCUUAAAGAGUUCGUAGGCGGCAUUGCAAGUAGGGUGUGAAAGCCCUCGGCUCAACCGAGGAAUUGCGCUCUAAACUGCAGUGCUUGAGGAACCUAGAGGUGAGCAGAACAGAUGGUGGAGCGGUGAAAUGCGUUGAUAUCAUCUGGAAUACCGGAGGCGAAGGCGGCUCACUGGGAGUUUUCUGACGCUGAGGAACGAAAGCCAGGGGAGCAAACGGG